rnacentral:pre_miRNA from 1 species
AGUGGGAUAGCUGGGUCAAAUGGUGGCUUCAUUCCAUUUCUAAAGAAUCUCCAUACUGCUUUCCACAGUGGUGGCAUCAAUUUGCAGUCCCACCAGCAAU